rnacentral:rRNA from 1 species
CACAUGCAAGUCGAACGGAAACGAUGGAAGCUUGCUUCCNGGCGUCGAGUGGCGAACGGGUGAGUAAUGCUUGGGAAUCUGCCUAAUAGUGGGGAACAACUCGGGGAAACUCGGGCUAAUACCGCAUAAUCUCUUCGGAGGAAAGGGGGCCUCUACAUGUAAGCUCUCGCUAAUAGAUGAGCCCAAGUCAGAUUAGCUUGUUGGUAAGGUAACGGCUUACCAAGGCUACGAUCUGUAGCUGGUCUGAGAGGAUGAUCAGCCACACUGGGACUGAGACACGGCCCAGACUCCUACGGGAGGCAGCAGUGGGGAAUAUUGCACAAUGGGCGAAAGCCUGAUGCAGCAAUGCCGCGUGUGUGAAGAAGGCUCUAGGGUUGUAAAGCACUUUCAAUAAGGAAGAAAAGCAUAAGGUUAAUAACCUUAUGUAUUGACGUAACUUAUACAAGAAGCACCGGCUAAUUCCGUGCCAGCAGCCGCGGUAAUACGGAAGGUGCAAGCGUUAAUCGGAAUUACUGGGCGUAAAGCGCGCGUAGGCUGUUAUCUAAGUCGGAUGUGAAAUCCUCGGGCUCAACCCGGGAACUGCAUCCGAAACUAAAUAACUAGAGUAUGGGAGAGGUAAGUAGAAUUUCCGGUGUAGCGGUGAAAUGCGUAGAUAUCGGAAGGAAUACCAGUGGCGAAGGCGGCUUACUGGACCAAUACUGACGCUGAGGUGCGAAAGCGUGGGGAGCGAACAGGAUUAGAUACCCUGGUAGUCCACGCCGUAAACGAUGAGAACUAGAUGUUGGGAGGGUUANCCUCU